rnacentral:rRNA from 1 species
GACGAACGCUGGCGGCGUGCUUAACACAUGCAAGUCGAACGGUAAGGCCCUUUCGGGGGUACACGAGUGGCGAACGGGUGAGUAACACGUGGGUGAUCUGCCCUGCACUUUGGGAUAAGCCUGGGAAACUGGGUCUAAUACCGGAUAGGACUACGCGAUGCAUGUCGUGUGGUGGAAAGCUUUUGCGGUGUGGGAUGGGCCCGCGGCCUAUCAGCUUGUUGGUGGGGUGAUGGCCUACGAAGGCGACGACGGGUAGCCGGCCUGAGAGGGUGUCCGGCCACACUGGGACUGAGAUACGGCCCAGACUCCUACGGGAGGCAGCAGUGGGGAAUAUUGCACAAUGGGCGCAAGCCUGAUGCAGCGACGCCGCGUGGGGGAUGACGGCCUUCGGGUUGUAAACCCCUUUCAGCACAGACGAAGCGUAAGUGACGGUAUGUGCAGAAGAAGCACCGGCCAACUACGUG